CUCAGUCUCCAUCUUCUCGGGCCCUUUGGGCUCCUUCUCGUCCCUGUUGUCACCGUCGUCCCUAUCCGGGGGCGGCCCCAUCCCGUCCCCACGCUCGCUGGGCGCCGGGGUGGCGGGUUUGGAGGUGCACGGGGUGGGGGUCCGGCUCUGCUCGGGGUCGGUGCUGCAGGUCUUGGCGGGGGAGGAGGCGCGGGAGGAGCGCUUGGAGUCGGCGCUGAGCUCCGGGACCAGCUCGGGGAGGCUCCAGCGCCCAUUGAUGUGCUCGAACUCCUGCACCUUCUUCUUGACCAGGGACAUGACGCCGAUGCGGGUCAGCACCUGCUGCCUCGACAGCCCCUCGCGGGGGACCCC
rnacentral:lncRNA from 1 species